CUCAUGGCAACACCAGAUCCUUAACCCACUGAGCAAGGCCAGGGAUGGAACCUGCAACCUCAUGGUUCCUAGUCGGAUUCGUUUCCACUGUGCCACGAUGGGAACUCCUAAGCGGUCAUAUCUUGAAAGGAACUUUUCUUCUGCGCAGUAGUUCUCAACAGUGGGCAUCGCAUAUACAGUCCGCCGUGUUGUAAACAGAUGUGCUGUCAUCUAGGCUUUGUUGUUCCAUUUCUAGAGCAUAGGCAGGGCGGCUAUAAUAUCCAUCUUAACGGCCCUAGGGUUUUCUGAAUGGCAAAUGAGCAUUGGCUUCAAUUUCAGGUGCUAGUUACCUAAAAGGAGCUUCCCAUAGUUAAACUUGCGGUUUCAAAACAUGCUGGGAAAUGUUCGCUGAUGGUUCCGUUGUGAAAGAACGUUUUGUUGCAAACAAUAUGGCCAAGCACUACAAGAUUCCCGUAUCCUCCAUCUGUAUCUGUCAAUACCAGCAGAUACACGCUGAUUUCGGACGUUGUAUGUUUAGCUCCUCAUUGAGGCAGGGACAGAGCAAUUGGCAGCCAGAUUUUCCUUCUUUCUCUUUUGUUUCUUUUCUGUGGCCACACCUGUGACAUAUGGAACUUCCCAUGCCAGGAGUGGAAUUAGAGCUGCAGCUGAGGCCUAUGCCACAGCCACAGCAACUCUGGAUCCCAGCCGCAUCUGCCACCUCUGCUCCAGCUUGCAGCCAUGUCGGAGCCUUAACCCAAUGAGCAAAGCCAGGGAUCCAACCCGCAUCCUCACGGAGACAACCUUGGCUCUUUAACCCACUGAUCCACGACGGGAACGCCGCAGCCAGAUCUUUUCUAGGUGGUGAGGGCCCAAAGGUUUUGACUAAUAUGUUCUAUUACAGUUCAGGCCACAUUUGACUUAUGGGACCAAAGGUAACGAGUUUUGUGGGUUAAGGAUAUAGAUAGAGGAUGUUCCAACAAUUUUGGUUAGAAAUAGACAUGAAAUGAAAUGCAGAUUCUUACUAAAGAACAGGGUCAGAAUUUAGGAAGAUAAUGGUGAGACCCUUCCUCUUUAGAAUAUUUUUUCAGUCAACGAUUAAUGUUAGGGAAAUACAUUAUCAAGUGGGUAGGCGGAUGACUAGAAUAACAAAUCAGAAAAAAAGAAAUUAUGUUUGGGGUUUCCGUCAUGGCCCAGUGGUUAACGAAUCCGACUAGGAACCAUGAGGUUGCGGGUUGGAUCCCUGGCCUUGUGCAGUGGGUUAAGGAUCUGGCGGUGCCGUGAGCUGUGGUGUAGCUCCCAGAUGUGGCCCGGAUCCUGAGAUGCCGUGGCUGUGGCAUAGGCUGGCAGCUACAGCUCCGAUUAGGCCCCUAGCCUGGGAACCUCCGUAUGCCGAGGGAAGCGGCCCUAGAAAAGGCAAAAAGACAAAAAAGGCAGAAAUUAUGUUCGAUGCUGCAACCACAGUCACCAGUAGAUCUGAGUCAAUUGCCUAUUUCAAAAGUGCCAACACUCCAGUCUUCAAAAAAUAUAUCAAAAGGCCAUGUGCUCCUGUUGCAUGUAUUUGGUGAAGAAUUUCGGUCUUAUAUUGGCUUGUACGGGUUCCCUGCAGAAAAAAAAUAAAUAUUUUUGCUGUGUACAUUUCUCAUUGAGCAAAGACUUGCUCCUUUGCAACAGAAGCUGGAACGGGUGUGCCAGUGAACCUAACACUGACGUGGUCAUUACCAAGGCAAUGGGUGCGUUUCCAUUGUUUGUGUGACAGUAAUAAAAGUUUACAUGAACCUUUCAUCAUGAUGUUUACCUGUCACACCUGAAAAUGUUGAGCCAUUUUCUGUCAAACUCAUAGUAGCAGGUCAAUUUCUGGCCUUGUCGAAACCAUUUAAAGCUUAAGAAAUACCAUUCUGUUUUGUUUUCUGAUUUCAAGUGUGCAGGGUGCGUUGGAGAAUGAAGACACAACACACCCAAACUUAUGGAUGCCAUGAAACCAGCACUAAGAGGGAAACUGAGAGCUGUGAGGGCUUCUGCUAAAAAGAAGAGAUACAGAUGAUGAGGGGAGUGGGUCAAAGAGUGAAAGGGAGCAGAGAAACCUGAAUUGGGGGGAUGGACUGCGGAGGAUCGCAAGUUACUUAAAACAUGGAAUUCAAGAAGGACAAACAGCCGCUGACAUCAGGAACUGCUCUGACACCUCCAGGAGGCCUCAGCGGUGUCAGAAGCUGGGCGGGUGCUCACCACACAGCUGGGCUGUUCUCCUGUUGGACAGAAGUCACCUCACAGAACAUCAGCAUCAGACCAGGACACUGACCUUGACACAGUGAGACAAAACAAGACCACGACAUCCUUCUGUCUAAGCCCAGACCAAAUGAGGCCACGCUGCGCUCUCACAAUGUGCCAAACCUCUCCCUGUGCUGAUACAAGUGGCCGCUGCUUCUUUGCAAUCACAGCUGGACCCUGGCUCUAGUCUGCCCUCCCUAUGGGUGAGGGUCACUGAGAUGCCCGGUCAGAGACCUGCCCCCACUGCCUGACACCAACACCCGAUCUAGACUGAGCCCCUCUUCCAUCCACCCUCCUCGAAAUCACCCCGCAAAGCCCCAACACUGUCAUCCUAAGAUGCUCUAUGGUCCCCAAUGGACUGUGUUCUCCCUCGAGCUGCCUCCAGUCAGAAAUCUCUCUUGCUGCCCCACAUAUCUGCUCCCAGGAGGCUUUGGCUGAAGAACACUGAAGGAUGUCACACGUUUGUCUGUCAGAUUUUUUUCGUGUGUCUUUGAGU